GGAUGACGUCACCUGACUACAAAAAGAGAGUGAGACAGACAGACAGAGCUCUGAGAAAAAAUCCUGCUGCUUGUCACAAGAGGAGCUGCUGGUCCAAAAAGACAACUUGAAGAGGACUAUACAGUCCAUUACUAUUAGUCUACCUGUGAACAGAAAAAGGUUUGCACGUUGUUAUGGACUUUUGAAGCUGGAACACUGGCCAAUUUUACAAGGCUCCCAUCUGAAGUUUUUUCACUUUUGAUAAAGAGGUGUUGAAGAAUGCUCCCAGAUAAUGCUGCCGAGUUGAAGUCUGGACUAAUUACAUACUAGAUGUUGUCAGAAGAAUGAACUAAAGAUAAAGCAACAGUUUCCUGUUGCGAGAUAUCUUCGAGAUGAAAAAGAGCCCUUGUAAUGUGUACAGCACACUGUAAGCUGUUCACUGACUUCAUAGUACGCCGGUAAGCAGUGGUGUAUUUUUUGUAUAAUUCCCAGCCUCUUCUCCUCAGAGUCUAUCUUUGUGCACAAAAACAAGACAAAUAUAAAUACAUGCCACCGUGGGGAUGUGAAGACACGGACAUGAUAAUGAGAGACAUAAUGUAGCUGAACAGAAAUUAAUAUAUAUAUAUCUUGUUCUUGUCUUCUUUGUCUUUGAA